UAAGGCCGAGCACUUUAGCCGAACUGCCGUUGACAAAACGGAGGAAGGCGGGGAUGACGUCAAAUCAUCAUGCCCUUUAUGUCCUGGGCUACACACGUGCUACAAUGGCCUGUACAAAGGGCAGCAAAGGGGCGACCCGGAGCAAAUCCCAAAAAACCGGCCUCAGUGCGGAUUGCAGUCUGCAACUCGACUGCAUGAAGUUGGAAUCGCUAGUAAUCGCAGACCAGCACGCUGCGGUGAAUAUGUUCUCGGGUUU
rnacentral:rRNA from 1 species